GCCUGAGAAAGGGCUCGAACCCGGCAGCGGGAGCAGGAGGGUUGACCCCGCCGCUGCGGGGCGCUCUGCCCUGGAGGCCCGCGGCGGGACUUUGAAUCUUCGAGUAGAAACAGACUCUUCCUUUUAGUAAGAAUGAAAAAAAGGAAAGAAAAAAGAAAAAAAAAGCAAUUUAAACUAACUGGUAUACGUGGAGGUGCCAACAAGAAAGACAAAUCUCAGUGGGUGACAUGCUUUCUUACAUGAAAGGCUACCUGUGAAUCAGUGCAAUAUUAAAGGAAGACAGAAAAGAAAGUCAAGAUGGGACAGAUGAAACAACCUUUGGACCUCUGUAUUCAGUGAGGAACCCAAUUCUACAUCAGGUGCUGCCAUCUACUUGAAUGAUAUGAUCAUCUACAAUAGAGGUUGGCAAAAGAUAGCUUGCAAGUCAAAUAUGGCCUGCUACCUAUUUUUUAUAAAUAAAAAAUUUCAACCUUUGGUUUAUGAAGAUACCAGUUGCUGAACCAUUGAAAAUAAGUAAGGUAUUUUAGAGGUUCUUUAUUCUGUUGAUCUGUGUUCUGCUUCACCUCUCAAAUCACUACUCAUGCAUGCUCAGAGAUGGGCCAACUGAAAAUACAGCUUGCAAAGCUCCUAGCCCUAUUAAAUCAUGAAAGCCCAUAUCCAUGAUAAAAUUAACCUCACUAUUGGAUAAUAACCAUGAGUAUAAAACUUUUUAAUCAUCUUUGUUUUAUGGUGCUCUGCCAAGCACUAGUCCUAUUUCUGUUUAUUCCUGCUUUAAAGUAGUUCCCAGUCUAAGACACUUAAUACUAAGACAGUUUCAUGUUACAGUCUAAAUGAAAUUAAUAUUUAAAUUGCUAAUAAUGAAAGAAGAAAUCCGAAUUUGUUUUUAGAUAUCUUGGUAUCUAUUUGCCCUGAAAAUUUUGAGGAAAAUUACAAAUAGCAAAACUUUAAGAAAGAAUUAUAAUGAAACUUACUUACCAGGAAGUUGUGUCAGAGAGCUUGCUUUAAAAAUCAUCCUAUUUAAUUUUGGCAGUAAAUAGUGGGCAAAUAUUGUAGACAUUCUUAUUAGCUGCAAGUCAAGCUUAAUUAAGGAAACAAAAUACUGAAUUGCAAAGGCAAACAGAAUUGAUGCCUAAUAUUUUUUGCUCUGAGUUUAGUAUACUAGCUGGCUUAAACUCUGGGUGACAUACACAAUUAAAACCAAAUAAAAGACUUGACAAUUUGCUUAUCUGGACUCUUGCUCCUUUUUAUGUUGCCAAAAUUACCACCUUGCCAUCAUCUCUGCAAAAUAAAUCAAACAGAAGUUCCUGUUGAUAUAAUGAAUAUUUUACUUUUUUUCAGGUGAGAUCAUUUCUGUAUCUUUUGUAAGUAUAAGGUAAAUUAAUGAAGCAAAUCACUUAAAAUGGU